AGUGAACGCUGGCGGUAGGCCUAACACAUGCAAGUCGAACGGCAGCACAGUAAGAGCUUGCUCUUACGGGUGGCGAGUGGCGGACGGGUGAGGAGUACAUCGGAAUCUACUUUUUCGUGGGGGAUAACGUAGGGAAACUUACGCUAAUACCGCAUACGACCUACGGGUGAAAGCAGGGGAUCUUCGGACCUUGCGCGAUUGAAUGAGCCGAUGUCGGAUUAGCUAGUUGGCGGGGUAAAGGCCCACCAAGGCGACGAUCCGUAGCUGGUCUGAGAGGAUGAUCAGCCACGCUGGAACUGAGACACGGUCCAGACUCCUACGGGAGGCAGCAGUGGGGAAUAUUGGACAAUGGGCGCAAGCCUGAUCCAGCCAUACCGCGUGGGUGAAGAAGGCCUUCGGGUUGUAAAGCCCUUUUGUUGGGAAAGAAAAGCAGCAGGUUAAUACCCCGCUGUUCUGACGGUACCCAAAGAAUAAGCACCGGCUAACUUCGUG
rnacentral:rRNA from 1 species